AACAUAUCUGAGAGUAACUGUUCAGGUAUUGACGGUAUUUAACCAGAAAGCCACGGCUAACUACGUGCCAGCAGCCGCGGUAAUACGUAGGUGGGCAAGCGUUGUUCCGGAGUUUAUUUGGGCGGUAAAGACGAGCGCAGGCGGUUUUUAAGGUUCUUGAUGUGAAAGACCUUCGGCUCAACCGAAGAAAGUGCAUCGGAAACUGGGAAACUUGAGUGCAGAAGAGGACAGUGGAACUCCAUGUGUAGCGGUGAAAUGCGUAGAUAUAUGGAAGAACACCAGUGGCGAAGGCGGCUGUCUGGUCUGUAACUGACGCUGAGGCUACGAAAGUAUGGGUAGCAAACAGGAUUAGAUACCCUGGUAG
rnacentral:rRNA from 1 species